rnacentral:snRNA from 1 species
UUUAGCUCUCGGCUCCUUGGAGCUAAGAUCAAAGUGUAGUGUCUGUUCUUAUCAGUUUAAUAUCUGGCAUGUAAAUACCUUGCAAUGCCGGCUACAAAAGUGCUAUGCGAACGCCU